GUGGGGAAUCUUCCGCAAUGGACGAAAGUCUGACGGAGCAACGCCGCGUGAGUGAAGAGGGUUUUCGGAUCGUAAAGCUCUUUCGUUAGGGACGAACGUGCUCUUUGUGAAUAAUGAGGAGUAAUGACGGUACCUAAAUAAGAAGCCACGGCUAACUACGUGCCAGCAGCCGCGGUAAUACGUAGGUGGCAAGCGUUGUCCGGAAUUAUUGGGCGUAAAGCGCGCGCAGGCGGGAUAUCAAGUCUGUCUUAAAAGUGCGAGGCUCAACCUCGUGAGGGGACAGAAACUGGUAUUCUUGAGUGUCGGAGAGGAAAGUGGAAUUCCAAGUGUAGCGGUGAAAUGCGUAGAGAUUUGGAAGAACACCAGUGGCGAAGGCGACUUUCUGGACGAUGUCUGACGCUGAGGCGCGAAAGCUAGGGGAGCGAACGGGAUUAGAUACCCUGGUAGUCC
rnacentral:rRNA from 1 species